GAGAGUAAGCAGAGAUCUUUGCGGUCACUGCUCUCUUGCCAGCAGGACACACGGUGAACACCAUUCCUUUCAGAGACAGUGGUAUAAAUUCUUGCUUGGGGGUUGCAGAAAGAGUCUCACUGGUAAGGGAGAGGAGCAGCUGGUAACCCAGAG
ensembl:misc_RNA